CACAGACUAUUUGCUCAUCCCCAGAUUUCCUGGAAUGCCAAGCACAGAACCUAGCAUGAGGUGGGUCUUAUGGAGUCCACCAACCAUGGCAAGGACUUUGGACUUUGUUCUGAAGAAUCCAGGAUCCCAGCACAUGAGGGGUAUGUGUGCAUUGGGUGCCAGGGGGUGUGACUUGCUAAGAAAUGGCAUCAGCGCCAAAAGCCAGAUGCCCAGUUCACGUUAUAAGAAUACCGGGCUGCAGGAAGUGACGGAGAUGAGCUAGCGCGUCGAAGAUACCUCUAUGGUUUUCCUCCCGUUCUUGAGUCGGGAAAUGGCCGCUGUGUAGUUACAACGGAGUCCUGGGAACGGUGCUUUCGACGUUUCAGGAAUUUGAAUUUAGAGUUUAAUUUCUCAGAACAUUUUCUCCAGGAAGAACUUUACAGUAUCUUAAAGACUUCACUUGACUGUUUAAUCCUGCAUAAAACCCAAGGAGAAAAGAAAUGGGUCGCUCCAAUUCUAGAUCACAUUCUUCAAGAUCAAAGUCUAGAUCACAGUCUAGUUCUCGAUCAAGAUCAAGAUCACAUUCUAGAAAGAAGAGAUACAGUUCUAGGUCUCGUUCUAGGACAUAUUCAAGAUCUCAUAGUAGAGAUCGUAUUUAUUCUAGAGAUUAUCACCGAGAUUACAGAAAUAAUAGAGGAAUGAGACGACCUUAUGCGUACAGAGGAAGGGGCAGAGGGUAUUAUCAAGGAGGAGGAGGUAGAUAUCAUCGAGGUGGUUAUAGACCUGUCUGGAAUAGAAGACACUCUAGGAGUCCUAGACGAGGUCGUUCACGUUCCAGGAGUCCAAAAAGAAGAUCCGUUUCUUCUCAAAGAUCCCGAAGUAGAUCUCGCCGGUCAUAUAGAUCUUCUAGGUCUCCAAGAUCAUCCUCUUCUCGUUCUUCAUCCCCAUAUAGCAAAUCUCCUGUCUCUAAAAGACGAGGGUCUCAGGAAAAACAAACCAAAAAAGCUGAAGGGGAGCCCCAAGAAGAGAGUCCUUUGAAAAGUAAAUCACAGGAGGAGCUGAAAGAUACAUUUGAACAUGACCCAUCUGAAUCUAUUGAUGAGUUUAACAAAUCAUCAGCCACAUCUGGUGAUAUUUGGCGUGGCCUCUCAGCUUAUGAUGAUAGUCCUAGAUCACCUCAUAAUCCUUCACCAAUUGCUACACCACCUAGUCAGAGUUCAUCUUGCUCUGAUGCCCCCAUGCUCAGUACAGUCCACUCUGCAAAAAACACCCCCUCUCAGCAUUCACAUUCCAUUCAGCAUAGUCCUGAAAGGUCUGGGUCUGGUUCUGUUGGAAAUGGAUCUAGUCGGUACAGACCUUCUCAGAAUAGUCCAAUUCAUCAUAUCCCUUCAUGAAGAAGCCCUGCAAAGACAAUCACACCACAGAAUGCUCCAAGAGAUGAGGCUAGGGGACGUUCUUCAUUUUAUCCUGAUGGUGGAGAUCAGGAAACUGCGAAGACAGGAAAAUUCUUAAAAAGGUUCACAGAUGAAGAGUCUAGAGUAUUCCUGCUUGAUAGGGGUAAUACCAGGGAUAAAGAGGCUCCAAAGGAGAAAGGAUCAGAGAAAGGGAGAGCAGAGGGAGAAUGGGAAGAUCAGGAAGCGCUGGAUUACUUUAGUGAUAAAGAGUCUGGAAAACAAAAGUUUAAUGAUUCAGAAGGGGAUGACACAGAGGAGACAGAGGAUUAUAGACAGUUCAGGAAGUCAGUCCUUGCAGAUCAGGGUAAAAAUUUUGCUACUACAUCUCACUGGAAUACUGAGGAGGAAGGACCCAAGUACAAGUCCAAAGUUUCAUUGAAAGGCAAGAGAGAAAGUGAUGGAUUUAGAGAAGAAAAAAAUUAUAAACUUAAAGAGACUGGCUACGUAGUGGAAAGGCCUAGCACUGCAAAAGAUAAGCACAAGGAAGACGACAAAAGUUCUGAGAGAAUAACAGUAAAGAAAGAAACUCAGUCACCUGAGCAGGUAAAGUCUGAAAAGCUCAAAGACCUCUUUGAUUACAGUCCCCCUCUACACAAGAAUCUGGAUGCAGGAGAAAAGUCUACCUUCAGAGAGGAGAGCCCACUUAGGAUCAAAAUGAUAGCCAGUGAUUCUCAUCGUCCUGAAGUCAAACUCAAAAUGGCACCUGUUCCUCUUGAUGAUUCUAACAGACCUGCUUCCUUGACUAAAGACAGGCUACUUGCUAGUACACUUGUCCAUUCUGUCAAGAAGGAACAAGAAUUCCGAUCCAUCUUUGACCACAUUAAGUUGCCACAGGCCAGCAAAAGCACUUCAGAGUCUUUUAUUCCACACAUUGUGUCCUUGGUUCAUCAUGUUAAAGAGCAAUACUUCAAAUCAGCUGCAGUGACCCUAAACGAGAGGUUCACUUCGUAUCAGAAAGCCACCGAAGAACAUAGUACCAGGCAAAAGAGCCCUGAGAUACACAGGAGAAUUGACAUCUCUCCAAGUGCCCUGAGGAAGCAUACUCGUUUAGCAGGGGAAGAGAGAGUUUUUAAAGAAGAAAUCAAAAGGGAGAUAAAAAACUAAGGUGUGAUUCUGCUGAUCUUCGGCAUGACAUUGAUCGUCGGAGAAAAGAAAGAAGUAAAGAACGGGGGGAUUCCAAGGGCUCCAGGGAAUCCAGUGGAUCAAGAAAGCAGGAAAAAACUCCAAAAGAUUACAAGGAAUACAAAUCUGACAAAGAUGACAGUAAACAUAAAAGUAGAGAGCAAGAUCAUUCUCGAUCUUCAUCCUCUUCAGCAUCACCUUCUUCUCCCAGUUCUCGAGAAGAAAAGGAGAGUAAGAAGGAAAGAGAAGAAGAAUUUACAACUCACCAUGAACUGAAAGAAUACUAAGGCUUUGGUUUGGAGGAGUUAGCCGACCACGAGGAACCUUUCAUGAUGACAGAGAUGAUGGUGUGGAUUAUUGGGCCAAAAGAGGAAGAGGUCGUGGUACUUUUCAACGUGGCAGAGGGCGCUUUAACUUCAAAAAAUCAGGUAGCAGUCCAAAAUGGACUCAUGACAAAUACUAAGGGGAUGGGAUUGUUGAAGAUGAAGAAGAGACCAUGGAAAAUAAUGAAGAAAAGAAGGACAGAUGCAAAGAAGAAAAGGCAUAGUAAAUCUGAAGUGAGAUUGCAACAGAGAGCAGAACUUGCACCCACCAUUUUUUACCUGAUUUUUGUUUUCAAAAUAAGAAUGUAAGCAUUUUACUUAAAUUUUACUGUUUGCAAGUAGUCAAUAGAAAUUUUGUUUUAAGUCUUCAAAUACCUUGAAAAAUAGUAGACUGUAUGUUGAAAAUUGUA